rnacentral:rRNA from 1 species
CCUACGGGUGGCAGCAGUGAGGAAUAUUGGUCAAUGGGCGCGAGCCUGAACCAGCCAAGUUGCGUGAGGGAUGAAGGUUCUAUGGAUCGUAAACCUCUUUUAUAAGGGAAUAAAGUGUGGGACGUGUCCUAUUUUGUAUGUACCUUAUGAAUAAGGAUCGGCUAACUCCGUGCCAGCCUCCGCGGUAAUACGGAGGAUCCGAGCGUUAUCCGAAUUUAUUGGGUUUAAAGGGUGCGUAGGCGGCCGUUUAAGUCAGCGGUGAAAGUCUGUGGCUCAACCAUAGAAUUGCCGUUGAAACUGGGGGGCUUGAGUCGGGUUGAGGGCGGUGGAAUGCGUGGUGUAGCGGUGAAAUGCUUAGAUAUCACGCAGAACACCGAUUGCGAAGGCAGCCUGCCAAGCCAUGACUGACGCUGAGGCACGAAAGCGUGGGGAUCAAACAGGAUUAGAUACCCUAGUAGUC